rnacentral:rRNA from 1 species
CCAGACUCCUACGGGAGGCAGCAGUGGGGAAUAUUGGGCAAUGGGCGCAAGCCUGACCCAGCGACGCCGCGUGAGGGAAGACGGUCUUCGGAUUGUAAACCUCUUUCAGCAGGGAAGACAAAAGGACGGUACCUGCAGAAGAAGCCCCGGCUAACUACGUGCCAGCAGCCGCGGUAAUACGUAGGGGGCAAGCGUUAUCCGGAUUUACUGGGUGUAAAGGGGGCGCAGACGGCGAUGCAAGCCAGGAGUGAAAGCCCGGGGCCCAACCCCGGGCAUGCAUUGGAAACUGGCGGGCUGGAGUGCCGGAGAGGUAAGCGGAAUUCCUAGUGUAGCGGUGAAAUGCGUAGAUAUUAGGAGGAACACCAGUGGCGAAGGCGGCUUACUGGACGGCAACUGACGCUGAGGCUCGAAAGCGUGGGGAGCAAACAGGAUUAGAUACCCGAGUA